rnacentral:rRNA from 1 species
AUUGAACGCUGGCGGCAGGCUUAACACAUGCAAGUCGAGCGGAGUGAUGGUGCUUGCACUAUCACUUAGCGGCGGACGGGUGAGUAAUGCUUAGGAAUCUGCCAUUUAGUGGGGGACAACAUUCCGAAAGGAAUGCUAAUACCGCAUACGUCCUACGGGAGAAAGCAGGGGAUCUUCGGACCUUGCGCUAAAUGAUGAGCCUAGGUCGGAUUAGCUAGUUGGUGAGGUAAUGGCUCACCAAGGCGACGAUCCGUAACUGGUCUGAGAGGAUGAUCAGUCACACUGGAACUGAGACACGGUCCAGACUCCUACGGGAGGCAGCAGUGGGGAAUAUUGGACAAUGGGCGAAAGCCUGAUCCAGCCAUGCCGCGUGUGUGAAGAAGGUCUUCGGAUUGUAAAGCACUUUAAGUUGGGAGGAAGGGCAGUAAGUUAAUACCUUGCUGUUUUGACGUUACCGACAGAAUAAGCACCGGCUAACUCUGUGCCAGCCGCCGCCGUAA